ACCGGAACAAGAGCAAAGGUUAGGCAAAGCACCUGGAACCUCUGAGAUUGGCAUGUAGUGCCUUGACCCAAGUAGAUAAAAAGAAAAAUAACCUCCUUACUACUGCAUCCCCUAAGGGGUGGAGUAAGGAGAGACCCCACUGAGCCUCCUCUCUCCGGGGAAGUUCUCUAUCUCCCUAUGUCUCUUCACUGGCACCUAACUAAAUGUUCCCCACUUACUGCUGGUGGGGUAUGAGAUCUAGUGAGUCUUGUUCUGAAGUGUCUCCUAUCCAGGGCUAUUUCAGCCUACAAGUUUGACACACGCGAGUCGACUGGCUUUGACCUGAGAAGCAAGUGAUCACUGAAAUAUAAAGUUCGUGCAGGAGUGAACUCUGGUUCCUGACAGACGGAACUCAAGAACUUGAAGUCAUAAAAACAGAAUGACAGUCGCCAAAGACUGGGUGUGGCUGGAGGGAAACUGUUGGUCAAAGAGGAGACAACUGCAGGCCGAAAGGAAACAUGAAUUUUGAGAUCUGAUGCACAGGUUUCUAUUCCUGCACAAACAUCAUGACCAAGAAGCAAGUUGGGGAGGAAAAGAUCUAUUCAGCUUACAUUUCCACAUUGCUGUUCAUCACCAAGGAAGUCAGGACUGGAACUCAAGCAGGUCAGGAAGCAGGAGCUGAUGCAGAGGCCAUGGAGGGAUGUUCCUUACUGGCUUGCUUCCCCUGCCUUGCUCAGCUUGCUUUAUUAUAGAACCCAGGACUACCAGCCAAGGGAUGGCACCACCCACUAAUUGAGAAAAUGCCUUACAGCUGGAUCUCAUGGAAGCAUUUCAUCAAGGGAGGCUCCUUUCUCUGUGAUAACUCCAGCUUGUGUCAAGUUGACACACCAAACCAGCCAGUACAAUGUAUCUCAAUAUUUAUGGUCUGUGGUGAUGCUGGCAGAAAGAAACCUACUGUGCUAUGUGUCCCAUGAUGUUGUAGUACAUUCCUGAGAUAUGGCUCCAUGGUACAGCAUUUGUCAAUCAAGCCUAUGAUCCUGGUUCCAUUCCCAGCUUCACAAAAAAGAAAACAAAUAUAUACAUAUAUACACACAUACAUACAUAUAUCAUAUACAAUCAUGCUCCAUAUCUAAAACCUGAUAAUGACAGAAAUGAUUGUGUCUGGUCCAUGUGUUUAAUAUACUACAUGUUUUAUUGAAAGAUCCUGACAGAAUGUAAAAGGUCACAGGAGCCCUGAAAUUGGCAAAAUAGAUUUCAUUGUUAGCAGAACUAGCUUCACUGAUUUAGAAAAAUAGAGAUGCACAAUGCUCUGGCCACUCCGAGAACCCGUGUGUCUGCCAAUGUUCUGACCAUUCCUUGAACCCAUGUGUGUGCCCACUGCUGAAGUCCACUGCCAGGUGUUUGUGAUAUUGGUUGCUGGGGAAGAGUCAGAAAAUCUCCCCAGCAACCACAGCCGGGGCCAAUCCGGAGUUGCUACACCUGCACCAAACUCUUUCCUUGUACCCCUCCCAUAACCAUUUCUUGAGAAUAGAUAUUGUUUAGAUCGGGAAAGCCCCUACUCCCCCCUUCUCCUUUCCCCCCUGAGGGCCUAUAAAAACUGGGACCUCUUUCCCCUCGGGGUCGACUCCUCUACCCCUGCGUGGGAUAUGAGUCGCCCCCAGAGCUCUGGCUUUCCCCAAAUAAAGCCUCGUGUGGUUUGCAUCAA
rnacentral:lncRNA from 1 species